rnacentral:sRNA from 1 species
UAGGACUAUAUUCCUCCAUUCACUCCUGU